UACGGUAGGGGGCUAGCGUUGUCCGGAAUCAUUGGGCGUAAAGCGCGUGUAGGCGGUCCGGUAAGUCCGCUGUGAAAGUCGAGGGCUCAACCCUUGAAUGCCGGUGGAUACUGUCGGGCUAGAGUCCGGAAGAGGCGAGUGGAAUUCCUGGUGUAGCGGUGAAAUGCGCAGAUAUCAGGAGGAACACCAAUGGCGAAGGCAGCUCGCUGGGACGGUACUGACGCUGAGGCGCGAAAGGCGUGGGGAGCAAACAGG
rnacentral:rRNA from 1 species